rnacentral:rRNA from 1 species
AGUGAACGCUGGCGGUAGGCCUAACACAUGCAAGUCGAACGGCAGCACAGGAGAGCUUGCUCUCUGGGUGGCGAGUGGCGGACGGGUGAGGAAUACAUCGGAAUUUACUCUGUCGUGGGGGAUAACGUAGGGGAACUUACGCUAAUACCGCAUACGACCUACGGGUGAAAGCAGGGGAUCUUCGGAACUUGCGCGAUUGAAUGAGCCGAUGUCGGAUUAGCUAGUUGGCGGGGUAAAGGCCCACCAAGGCAACGAUCCGUAGCUGGUGUGAGAGAAUGAUCAGCCAAACGGGAAAUGAGACACGGUCCAGACUCCUACGGGAGGAAGCAGUGGGGAAUAUUGGACAAUGGGCGCAAGCCUGAUCCAGCCAUACCGCGUGGGUGAAGAAGGCCUUCGGGUUGUAAAGCCCUUUUGUUGGGAAAGAAAUCCAGCUGGCUAAUACCCGGUUGGGAUGACGGUACCCAAAGAAUAAGCACCGGCUAACUUCGUGCCAGCAGCCGCCGUAA